UGCUUACCAGUGAUGUUGAAAAAUAAAUGUCUGAACAUAUGAAUUCAAUAUGAUAUCAGUUUAUUCUCUGAGGUAAGCA
ensembl:snoRNA small nucleolar RNA SNORD72